GGGCAUGUGGUGUAGUUGGUUAUCACGCUCGCUUAGCAUUUAAGCGUGCGAGAGGGGUCCGGUUCAAUCCCGGACAUGUCCA